rnacentral:tRNA from 1 species
CGUUCUAUGACUUAUUUGGUUAGAGCGCUGGUCUUGCGUAUACGGAGUCGUGGGUUCAAAUCCCACCAGAACGC